CCCUACGGGGGGCAGCAGUAGGGAAUUUUCGUCAAUGGACGAAAGUCUGAUGGAGCAACGCCGCGUGAGUGAAGAAGGGUUUCGGCUCGUAAAGCUCUGUUGGUAGUGAAGAAAGAUAGAGGUAGUAACUGGCCUUUAUUUGACGGUAAUUACUUAGAAAGUCACGGCUAACUACGUGCCAGCAGCCGCGGUAAUACGUAGGGGGCACGCGUUGUCCGGAUUUAUUUGGCGUAAAGCGAGUGCAGGCGGGUCAAUUA
rnacentral:rRNA from 1 species